ACACGACCCUGCUCCCGAAGCCGUGCUCCCCGCCAUCGAGUGGCCUGCUCCUCCCAUCCGGCGAGCGGUGGACCGGAGCCGGGCAGGCGGCACUGAAAUCUCGGCACGGGGCACGGGCCGCGGCACAGCCUACAUCCUGUCCGACGGAAGCAGCCAGGACUCGUGUGCCGGGGACAGCCGGUGCCUCACGGGGACCGUCGCCUUGACCUGACACCGUGAGCCGAAGAUGCCCCUUCUGGUGGCCGCUCGCGAGCCGACAACUCCAGCACGUGGCUCGCCCGGUAGGCCGCAGGUGACAGAAUCUCUCAGAGAAGGCAGUUCGGGCAGAAAAGGAGCUUGGCAGCUCCCAUGCAUGAGACGCCAGGCAAGCGAGCCUUCAGGACCGGCUCGAUCCAGUCCACCGGAGAGGGCCACGCUGUUUCCUCCUGCUCUGGUGGCUAUCGUUUCUGCCGUUUGGUUGCCUUCUCAGGCUCUGUGAGGCACGGGUGAUGGCCCUCGGUGCACCUCGUCAUGACGGGAAGAAAGGAACCUACUUGCCUCGGCCACAAAUUCUAGAAACGGUCACACUGACUGCCACUGGGACCCUUGCUGUUCGGGGCUGAAUUGUGUCUCCAAGAAAGAUGUGGAAAUCCUAA